GCGGGAGUAGUUCAGUUGGCUAGAACGUCUCCCUUCCAAGGAGAAGGUCGCGAGUUCGAAUCUCGUCUCCCGCUCCA
rnacentral:tRNA from 1 species